UAGGGUGUGGCUGAACUGGAGCUGAACUGGUUUUGGCAGUUUGUAUGGAAUACUCUCUCUCUCUCUCUCUCUCUCUCUCUCUCUCUCCAGAUCUAGUGGUAGAGAGCAUCGUUCGAGUGCUUAGUUUUCUCGUUCUGUUACUCAUUUUCCUUAUCUUGAUUCAUCACUUUGGAUAAUUUUGUUUCUAUUGCUCUUUUCUCUAUCUUUUUCUGCAUUUCACAAUUAAUUCAUUAUCGGCUUAAUUUGAUUAGUUCUGGAAGAGAGAGAGAUAUAUAUUUAGAUCCUUUAGAAGGUUAGAGAGAGAGAUGUAGAUUUCUGAGAGAGAGAGAGAGAGAUGUAGAUUUCUGAGAGAGAGAGAGAGAGAGAGAUGGCAAAAUAUGGAAAUUAACCAAAAAUCAAGGAACCAACCAUCAAGCAAUCCUUAACUGGAUCAAGGAAGGCCAUUGUGAUGAUUCCUGUGGACCAGUCCAGCCUGUUAAGGGAGAGGACUUUGUGGGCAAAAACUACUAUGUUUCAUGGCCAUGAGGAGGAGGAGGAGGAGGAGGAGGAGGAGGAUGAGACUCUCAGCUAGUUCAAUACAAUUACCCCAGAGCCAGAGGGCACUUCUGACUGCUGAGGUACCCAAAUCUCUCCCCCAUUAAUUGAUUUUAUUGCCAUUUCACUUGUUAACAAUCUGUUUCAUAUGAAUUUGUGUUUUCUUUCCCCUCCUUCUUUAUUUGUGCUUUUGCUUGGGUUGGCUCUCAUUCAAUUUGAGAAAUGGACAUGUUGCUUUGCUUCUCUGGCUUGCUUUCCCAUAUUGUUUACUUUCCAGCGAUGUGAAAAUGUUUUUUCUUAGUUUUUGGUUUUGCAAUUUUGUGGUUUCCUCCGUUUUUAAUAAAUUUGUUUCAGUUUUCUUUCUUUCAAUUUUCUGGUUUUCAUUGUUCGAUCUGUAUUAGAUUAAUUUGAUUUGGAGAUUGAAAGGAAAAAAUGGUAAUAAAGGAUUUAGCUGAGGUGUUUUGUAAAACAAUCCUCCAACUUGCUUGCGUGUUUGUUGAAAGAAAAAAUGGUGGAGAAUUGUUGUAAUCAACCAGAAGAAAAUACAUAAGGGAAGGGAGGCAAACCAUGAUUUAGGAUCGUACUAGUGUAUGUGCAUGCCUCCCUGUUUGUGUGGGCUCAGGAGUGCAAGUAUCAAUUUAGUUUUCAACAAGCUUAAGAUCGAUACGUUGAUCUAUCUAUUUGAUCAGUGGCUAGUACUGACCUAUUUUAUGGACCCGUGGAACGUAGAACUGUUUUGGAUUGGAAAUUUUUUGACCUUUCUGCGGGACAAUUACACCCCGUAACUUCCAAUUGACUGGUGAGACCUUAAACUCUGCCUUUCACCCCCACACGGCACUCUCUCAUUCAAUUUGAGGAUAUGCUUGUUUGGUCUGGUCAGUUAAUGAUUUUUUGAAUGACAUUGGGUGGAGAGUGUGUUGAAAAUUUUGAGUAAAAAUUUUAUUGUCCCACAUUGGUCACUACCAAAAGGUUCUCUCACUUUAUAAGGCUUUGUCCCUUAUAGAAAGUAAUUAGAGUAAUGGUAAAAUUGGGCUCAACCUUGUGGUGGGGCUUUGAAGUGUACUAAUUAAUUAAUUGAUAAUUAUUAUAUAAUUAAUCAUGAAAUGUUGGGUUCGGAGUGAAGUUUUUGGGAUUUAAUUUAAUCAUGAAAAAUGUUGAGUUCAACAUGAUUGAGGGUGUUUAAUUCAAAAUAAGUGUAAAAAAACCGACUCCACUUAAUGGAAUAAAAUUUUGUUGUAUGAAAUGUUGCCAUCAUAGAUAAAUAUUAGUCUUACCAACAAUAAUAAAUUAAUAUAAGUGUAGACAGAAUGUUGUUUACAUAAGAAAAAGAAAGAAACAAAUAUUGGGUCAAACAAAAUUUUCCUAAUGGAUAAUUGAAUAACGAAUAUUAUUUGUUUAAUUCAAAAGUUUUCCUAAUGUUUCUCAAGAAUGGGAACUAUACCUUGACUUAUAGUUCAUGAUAAAGGAAUCCUUUAACAAGAGGGAUCCUCAUUUUUCUAAAAAAUUGGGACGCCCGCUUGACCAUUAGAUUGGCUUUUAAUGAAAUUGUGUGGUUGAGAUUGUGUGGGUUGUGAUUUAAUCUCAACCACAUAAUUUCAUUAAAGCCAAUCCAACGGUCAAGAGGGUGUCCUUAUUAUUAUUUUUAAAACAUGAGGAUCCCUUUUGUUAAAGGGUCUGCAUGAUAAAUAACAUGCCAUAACGUGUAUUACUUUUAUGGUUGGGUUGCAUGAUAAGGCACCCAAAAAAAAAAAAAAAGUUGCAUUGCAUGUAUUUCGUUUAUACAAAAAUAUGUUGGAGUUAAAUUCUCAGUUGGCCACUCCUUUUUUGUGCUUGUUACUUUCCUUGUGUUCCUAGCUUGAGUCUUUGUGAUUACAGCACACAGCACACUCUCAUUCAAUUGGAGGAUAUGUUGGCCACUUCUUUUUGGAGUUGGAAAUUUUUUGACCUUUUUGUGGGACAAUUGCAUCCCGUAAUUUCCAAUUGACUGGUAAGACCUUAAACUCUGCCCGGCACACAGCACAUGGCACACUCAUAUUCAAUUUGAGGAUAUGCUUGUUUGGUGUGGUCAAUGAAUGAUUUUUCGAAUGACACUGGGUGGAGAGUGGAGAGUGGAGAGUGGAGAGUGGAGAGUGGAAGUGGGUUGCACAUUUUGCAUAACAUGAGGCCUCGAGGCAUAAGUCUCGAUUUAGAGACCACUAGCAAGGAAUGCCCGCACGAUGCUGCGGGAUUGAGAGUCGUAUGGAAACUUUGUGUACAAUACCUCAACACAAAUGUAUAUUAAAAUGGUGAUGGUAAAGAUAAGAAGAGAUCCCCCUUGUUGGAUGUAGCAAGUAUGAUAUCUUCCAAACUCCAAUGACAAUUCAUCUAGUUUAGUUCAUGCUAUUAAUUCGUUUAGGUUAUCCACAUAACCUCUAUGGUGCUUCCCCCAGUGACACCCUAACGUCUCCUUGUUCAUAUGUGGGUCCGACGCAUCCUACUUAAAACGAAAUAUCAAAACAAAGUGUCAAAUUUUAACCAACAUAGCUCAAAUUUGACAUCUAUCACAAUAGGUAGACCCAAAAUUUGAUCCAAAUCGAAGUUGAAGAAUCUCUUAACUUCAAAUUUUGGCAUCAAUCACAAUAUACCGCGCAAACCAAUCAUAAGCACAUUAUCAUAUAGUCUGAUAGAAAGCAGCUAAAUGAAAUGAAGAGCAUAAUUCUUCAGUUAAUUUCAUCAGUCACUUAAAUAUACACAUCACGCCAAAUACCGUCGCAAUCUCAUGGUAAAAAUGGACAAAUACUAUGUAACUUUGCACAAAAUAUAUAGCAUGCUAAUAAAUAGAAUAUUCCCAAGAUAACCCCAACACUUAAGGGCAAAUUAGUUAUUUUCCCGAAAAGCUUGCGCCGAUUAUAUCCAGCGGAUCCCCCAACCCAAUUGGAUUCUGCAAUCUCCUCCUCCAACAUGGCCGCCAUUGCUCGAUCGAAUUUCAGAGACGUAGAUGAUUCUGAAAUCUGUAGAAUCCGUAUGCGUGGUCGCACUCGCCUACUUGUUCUUGGCAUGCAAGGCACUGGUAAAUCAUCUCUUAAGAGACAAAUGGAGUCGUCCAUUUUCACCGAGCGAAACAACGUAGGCCCUAAUUGAGUCAUCGACUGUUGACUCGGAGCUAGUCGAGAGAGCCGAUAUUAUUUGUUUUGUCGUGGACUCUACUGAACCGAAGUUUACAGAAAAUGCAGAGUAGGUUUCUAUACCAUCUUUUAGCAAAGAUGGAUGAGUUUGGUAAGACAAAAACAGACAUUCUUGUCAUCUUCACCAAGCUAGAUAGGCUUGUGACUCACUCGAGAAUGAUUUUGACUUCAUUCUUGAUGGAUCGACUGCGGGGUACAUUAGCGGGGCAUUUAAUUUGCGACGAUUCGAGGAGGUCAUCAAGUUCGCCCUUUGUGCAGCCAGGACCGACAAGUGGGAUGAACUGCGCCACCUGAUUACGGAGUCACAGAGAGCACUACUACGACUACCAGAGACAGAGACAGAGACACACAGAGAUAUAAUUAAGUGACAUAUGAGUAGAUUAAUUAAUAAGAAUUAGUGAGUGAUUAGUUAUUGUCAGCUGCCAAUUUGUUGAGUGGAAGCUUAUAUAUAAGCUCAUGCUCUCUUUUAAGGUUAAUUAGUUGCUUUCGGCUUUUUUUUCUUUCUUUCUAUGAGCUUUUCAUUAUUGGAGCUCUUGACUGCAAAUUGUUUAUGGUUGCUCUUUUGGAAUGAAGGAUGAAGGUGUGGACUUUUUCAUAAUGGGAUUUCUUAAAGGGGUUUACUGUCUACAGUGCUGCUGUUCUUGUUAGGAUUAAUCGGAUUGUUUUUGGGAUUUUCGAAAGUUGACAAGAAGUUUGUUAUAUUGCAGGCGAAUUUACAGUUGCUAUCUGGCGGUUACUUGCAAAGCAAUCAAGCUUAUGCUGCCUACCAUAUUUUAAAGGGUUCCAAAUGGUGCAGCUGGUCAUUACCUUCUGGGGUUUAUAUACAGGGUCUGCUGAAGAAGCUGCUGUAUUUUUUGGUGAAGCUGCUCUUCUUUCCAUAUAAACACAGCAUCUAAAUCAUGGAUUAGCUUCUCAAAGUUUACUUACCCUCUGAAUGAGGACUCCACUUAGUUUCUGGUAGGAACUUUAGCUGCGAAGAUGUUAGCCAGAGACAAUUCAAACAUGUUCAAGGAAAUAAUAUAAGAGGUAUGUCUCGAAAUUCUCAUGUUAGUUUGGGAGGAGCUUCUGGUCAACCUGUAAAUGGAAGUUCUGGUUCAUCUUUCUUUAACAACACUCCUUCACCAAUUCCCAUGCAGGUAUAUAUAGGUUUUCCCUUCCAAUUUUUCUCCAGCAGUCUUGCAUUUACCGUUGUAUCUUUUUCCUUUCUUCCAGUGCUUAAUCUUACUAUUUGUAUCAGUUGACUUUAGGUCUGUUUUAUCUUUGUAGCUAUGUGUCUGGACCACUUCAGUUAGGUUUUGUCUUGAAAGGAAGUAUUUGGUUUCUUUACUGAUAAGUUUGUUCUCUUUGUUGUAACUUGUAAAGUAGACCAAUUAACGUAGGAUAGGUGCAAGGACUACACAGGGAUAUGCCUGACUAUUGGAUAGGUGCAAACUUGUCUCUUUACAUUACCUUGAGAUUGUUUGUCUUCUCUUUUCAGAUUUCAAGUUCAAGGAGGUUGUCUUUUGAUUCUAGCAACCGGCGGAGCAAUGGACUUGCUGCUGAAGCAGGGGGCGACACUAAUGCAAGUGCCUCAGUGACAGCUGGAAAUGGAACUGCCAAUUCAUCAAAGUAUUUUGGAAGUUCCAAGCUGAGCUCUGUUGCACGUUCCUUGGCAAAUCGUAAGGGGAAGCCAUGGGCCAAUGGAAACGUUGACGAAGGUGAUGCGUCUUCUCAUUUCCCAGUCAUUUGGUGAACUAUACUACCAUAUAGUUAUUAGCAGGACAAUAAGCCAUUUUAUCACCAAUAUACGUAAUUUAUUCUCUUCUAUUAGUAUUAAUAGAGAAACAACAAAUUGCAUUAUAGUGAUUCAAGUCUUUUUCAUUUCCUUUGCUCGUAUAAGUUUAAUAGCAUUUCCUGGAUAAUAUAAGUAAAAAGUUACCGCUCAAGGAUACCUCCCGAUUCUUCUA